GCAAGGAAUAUUGCGCAAUGGGCGAAAGCCUGACGCAGCGACGCCGCGUGAGGGAAGAAGGCCUUCGGGUCGUAAACCUCUUUUCUCAGGGAAGAAUAAUGACGGUACCUGAGGAAUAAGUCACGGCUAACUACGUGCCAGCAGCCGCGGUAAUACGUAGGCGGCGAGCGUUAUCCGGAUUUACUGGGCGUAAAGAGGGCGUAGGUGGCUUGAUAAGUCGGAUAUGAAAUCUCCCAGCUUAACUGGGAGGGGAUGUUCGAUACUGUCAGGCUAGAGGGCAGUAGAGGGAGACGGAAUUCCCGGUGUAGUGGUGAAAUGCGUAGAUACCGGGAGGAACACCAGUGGCGAAGGCGGUCUCCUGGACUGUUCCUGACACUCUGGCCCGAAAGCGUGGGGAGCGAACAGGAUUAGAAACCCGAGUAGUCC
rnacentral:rRNA from 1 species